UCAUGCACUGACUAGGUAGGGUUAACAAGGAAAAGAACCCGAUCUCACCGUCCAAUUGGAAAUUUCGGGGUCAUGUUAGUUAUAGUGUUUUUCGCCAGGGCGGAAAUGUGAGCGGCCAAUAAAAACCAAUAGAGGAAUUCAGGAUUUUAUGCACUCGUGCGGCCGCCCCAAAACAUCGCAGCUCUCACCUCCAUCCCGGAGAAGGAACAGUUUGUUUGCGGUUUUUUAAAAGGAGCAUAUGGAAACUGGAAGAUGAGACAGGCUCUCACAUUUUUUCUGUGUUCUUAAACUGUAAGCCACAAACCCCAACAUACAACGCGUCAAGGAUUUCCGGUCGUUAGCUCAGAAUGCUGGGAAUUGAAGUUUAAUAGAGAGUCCUGGUCUGGAUUGAUGUCCCUAUAGGAAGAGAUCGUUAGUAGAGUUCCUCUCUCUUCCUUCCCACCCACCCCUGCGAAAAGAGGUUACCUGCUAAAGGGGGAAUGUAGGACACUGGAAGUCAGAUCCUUUAGCUCAGCGUUGCCCACACGGACUGGCAGCGGAUCUCCAGGAUUUUAGCGGGACAUUCCUGGGCCUACCUGGCGGCACCAGAGACUAAACCUGGGACCUUCUUCAUGCAAAUCAGAUGCAUGCCCUUGCCGAAGGAAGCGGGAGAUGUUUUUUUUUACGUUCUCUGCAUCGUCACCAGAAAAAGUAGAAACUGAUCUGUAACAAAACUUUUCAGGGUGGAGUGCUCUGGUUCAGUGUUCCAGCCAGCUAUGUCCUCUUCCUAAAUAUUACCCCACCCUGCAAAAAGCCACAAAAACUUUUACUUUUUUUCUUUUUCUCCGUACAGAUAAUAUUACAUGGCACCAAUCGUGCUUAUUUCUCGUUGGGCUCCUCUCGCCACUCCCCUUUUUAGCGUUUUGGUCUGAAGCUGUUUCUUGUUUUGAGGUUCCCUCAAACUUACUGCUACCUCCCGCUUGUUUGGGGGCGCAGUUUUGGCUACAUAAAGAAAGGCACUCCGCGAAAAAGUGUGCUUGGAUUGGUCAGACCGCCCUGGGCUGGUUGCGGAGCAUUCUUGUUCAGUGUAACAAAAAAUUCUUGUGAGGGUUAAAUAUAACAACCUCAUGUACAGAUUUUUCCCCACCCACCCCAAAGGAUGGAGAAUAAUGGGAGCAGCUGCCUCAUAGUAUUAUGCGCUUCCCAGGUAAGAGAACGCCAACACAAGAUGCACCUUCCACUGUUGCAAUGGAAGACACCGAAACUGCCUUGGUUGCCCUGGUUGAUGACAUCUGCCAGGAGAGAGACAGGGGGAAUGUGACCCUGCUUGUUCUUCAUCUCUCUGUGGCUUUUGAUACUGUUGACCGUGGUAUCCUUCUAAAGCGCCUCAGGAAGGUUGGGGGCACUGUAGCUCUUCUCAUACCUCCAGGGCCACUUCCAAAAAGUAGUUAUGGGAGGCUACUGUUCAGCACCAUGGGAGCUGUCCUGUGGUGUUCUGCAGGGUCAGUCCUGUAGCCAGAGAAAAGCAAAUGUGGGCACUGCCCCCCUAGAGCUGUGGUUUGCCUCCCUAGGAUUUUGGGGGGGAAUUAACUUUUUAAUUUGUGACAUGACAGAUAAUGACAACCUCCAUUUAAAGAAUGAUAGGCUGUUUUAGCAGCAGGAGCAAUUUAAACCUUAAUCCAUACUGUUAAAAAAUCACACUUGCCUGACUUGGGGGUAUAUUUGAACCCCAAUUACAUUUCCAAUAAUAGGAUGUAUCCCCUCAUUUUUGGGGGGAGUCACCACAAGUGUGCUUGGCACUACCAAAGCACCUUAAGCCAAAAAACACUUAUUCAGAGGAGGUAAAUUUUUCUGAGCAGUAUACGUUGGCUCCUUCUCCAUGCAUAGUCAGUAAACUGGGCUAUUUUUGGAUGCCGGUGGGAUUUUUUGUUUUCAGAAGUAAAACGGUAAGUGGUAACUUGCUGAAAUUUGGGGACGUUGUACGGGUGACAGUUUGUGACAAUGUCCUUGAAGAACAACCCUGCCUACUCAUGUGUAAAUUACACAAGAGAAGGCAGAAGUUUGUCCCCAGGACUUCUAGGGUAUUUGGCCCCCGCUGGGUUUUUCCCCAGAAGGAAAUUGUAAGUGGUAACUGGCUGAAAUUUGCAACCUUGUACUGGCUAAAAGUUGUGACAGUGUCCUAUAAAGACAUCCCUGUAGGUCUACGUAUGUGUAAAUUACACAAAGAAAGUGCACCUUGAUCCAAAUGGGUCCCAGAGGGCAGGAUGAGAAUAGGACCCUCUGAAAAAUUCAAUGAAUAAGGCAGGGUGACCGCACAACAAAAGCUUCAUCUGGAAAAGCUCCCAAAAGUCUGCUCACCCAAUACUUUCCCUGACUAAGGGUGGAUUUCUCAUGAUCACAAUCGCCCUAUAACUACUUAAAUGAUCCUGGGAGGAACAAAACAGCCUGUAUAGUAACAUGAUCCUUGAAGAGUUAAAUAUUAGACCUUUGAAUGUAUUUAUUUAUUAGAUUUAUAUUCCGCCCUUCCUCCCAGUAGGAGCCCAGGUUAGUAUUAUGGGUUAGAGUUAGUCUCCGUGCCUUGGACUCUCCUUUGCUUUUCAGGUUUAGUUUAAAUUGUAUUCUCUAUCCAGCCAGCAAUAAAGAAACAUGUUUGCCUGCAGUAAAAAGUGUUUAUUCUGCAGUUAAUAUAAUGAGUACAGCAGGACUAGAUGCUUAUUGCUAAAGGAUGAAAUACCAUGAGAACAUAAAGUGAGCUGGAAAAAAUAGCUUCCAUAAGUUGCCCUUUACUCUUUCAAAGCACGCACUAUAUUCACAAUUAUGGUGGCUAUUUUUGUUUUUUUUCUUGAGUACUUGAUGGCAAAGGAUAAAAAUAGCCCUAGAGAGAUAGAAAUAUUGCUGUGUACACUACAGCUAGCUGGCUGGCCACCUAGGCUGUAACUCAAGGCUAAUUUCUGAUUUUCCCAAUACAUGCAGCUCAGCAUGAGGCCUUUUCAGGUUUCUGUACAGAAAAAUCAACCCAGCAACAGUAAAAAAAAAUAAAUCAAAAUUGCUUUCCACAGUUAGUUUCCAAGUGCUUAGUUAGCCCUUUAUAUAGCAGCCAGUUAAUAAGUUCUCCCUUGAUUGUUCAACAGGAAGGAAAAUCUAAAGGUCAGGAACAAGACUAGAAAGAGGGACUCUCGAGAAGGAAUAAAGGAACACACCCUAAAAUAUUUAUUUUCUCUCUGCCCUUCCCUAAACUUGUAGUAUGGACAAGUUUGUUUUCUGGGUGGAAUCUAAAACUGAGAUACCUAAUGCAGCAUCAAAGCCGAGCUUAGGAGCUUACUGUCAUUAGCAAAGAAGUUCAAUUCAUGAUGAAUCAGAACAUAAGGACAGACCACAAGUGAAAGAGGCUGUAACUACAGGCAAAGGCAAGCUUUUGAGUCUGGUAUUCCUGGCGAUCUCUCAAAAAAGGAUGAGACAAUUCAACAGAUUAAAUUUCAUUCAUGUAAGUUGACACUCUGGAUGAAGGAGUAGCGAGGGGGAAGAUUUCCCUUCCUCUGGUCUGACCCUCACGUCCUCCUCAGUUCCAUUUUGUCCCAACAUCUAUAUGAAGCCGCUGGGAGCUGCCAUUAGGAGAUUUGGUGUGAGACAUUAUCAAUACACAGAUGACACCCAAAUCCAUCUCCCUGUUCCAUUUGAAUUGGGAGAGGCAGUUGAGGUGCUGGACCGGUGUUUGAAGGUGGUGAGGGAUAGAUAUGGGUCUAUAAACUGAGGCUGAAUCCUGAAAAGAUAGAGGUGUUAUGUGUCCAGAAUUCUCAUAUGUGGAGGUGGGGGAUGGUCUGUUCUGGAUGGGAUUGCACUCCCCUUGAAGAAACAGGUUUGCAGAUUGGGGGUACUCUUUGAUCCAACAUUGUCACUGGAGGCCUCAGUAGCUAGAAGUGCUUUUUUCCAGCUCCAGCUAGUUCACCAGCUUCAGCCCCUUUUGACACAGAUGACUUGGCCACAGUACUCCACGCUCUGGUAACUUCCAGACUGGAUUAUUGUGAUGUGCUCUUUGUGGGGCUGCCCUUGCAGACAACUCAGAAUCUUCAACUGGUCCAAAAUGUAGUAGCCAGAUUACUGGCUGGGGUUCCCUUUAGAUCCCAUAUAACCCUUGUUUUAAAACAGCUGCAUUGGAUGUCAGUUAGUUUUUGGGUGUAAUUGAAGGUGCUCACGCUAGUGUUUAAAGACCUAAACUACUUAGAUCUUAAACAUCUGAAAGACUGCCUCCUUCUCUACAGACCCUCUCAGGUGUUGAGAUCAGCAGAGGGGGCCCUUUUGGUAGUUCUGCCACCCUCAGAAGUUCAGAUGGUGGCAGCCUGUUAAGUUGUGAAACUUCCUCCCUAUUGAGGUUCAUCUGGUAACUUCACUGACAAGUUUUAGGUGAAUGCUGAAGAUGCAUCUCUUUACCUUGACCGUUGACACCCGAGAUAUGUAUUUUUAGGACCCACCCUAUUUUGGGAUUUUAGGUUUGUUUGUUUGUUAAAUUAAUGUUGUAUUUUAAAGCUAUUGCAGCUUGCCCCAGGAUCUUUGGGUGAAGGGUGGGUAAUAGACAAUGCUGAUGCAGAUGCAGAAAUGGAGAAUCUGUGGGCCCUCUCUUGUUGAACUACAGCUUCCAUCCUCCAUGACCAUUGGCCAUAUUAGCUGAAGCUGAUGGGAGUCCAAGAACAUCUCCAGGGCCACAGAUUUCCCAUCCGUAUUGUAAGGACUGAAAAGAAAAAUAUAAAUUGUAGAAAUCCUAGACAUUUCUGCUGGAACAAUCUGCUGUGGGAGAUGUGGUAGCAUGUGUAGAUCAGCCAAUUCAUACAUUGCAUUCUUCAUGUUAUCACAGUUGGUUCCUGCCAUAUCACUUGAAGAUGGUUUGAAUGAAUGAACUGUCUCACUUCAAAUCCUGAGAAAUUAUUUGGGUCAUUGAACAAAUAUAGUAAAGUCCAGUCAUUUUUGUAAAAUUUUAAGGACUAGUUUAUAAAAUUUGUCUCCACACAAAGGACCCUGACCGUCCCCAGAUAAUUCAUAUGAAGAAUGCAAUAUGUGAAUCAAUCCAAUAAUGUGACUUUCAACAUGUGACUUAUUUACAUGGUCAUAUUUGCUGUACACAAAGUAUCCUCACAUUCCCAGAGAAAACAUUUAUGCAGAAAAUGUAAGGUAUGAACCCGUCUGGUUGUAGUAAUUUGACAGCCAUUUCACCAAUCAGAGCAGCUGGAGAAAAAAGUACUAAUGGGUUAGCUCAACCAUUAUAUUCUCUGAAUGAUUGUGGGUAUGUAUGCAUUUGUAGAUUGCUCUGGGUAGAUCAAACUGAGUCAAUUUUGACCAUGUCUCAGGGCUAACAUUAUUUAAUUUUUAUCCAGAAAUAUUAAGACUUUUAGAAUAUGACCUCGCUAGAAAGCAUGAAGAAAGGCUGAGGUAUCUACAAUUUCUCAUAUGUAACAAAUCAUCUUUCAAAGAAACACACGCUAGGAGAUACAAUAUUUUAUUUUGGCAUAAGCACUUGAAAAAGGUUAAGAGCAUUACACUGUUUUAUAAUUUCCAUGCGCAUACUAGUUAAUUAGAUGAAAUAAAGAACCCACAUAAGAACACUAACUGAUGCCUGGAACAUACCGCCUUAGGAAAUUUAUUAUUUACACAUGAAGUUGUUACAUAUUGGCUGCUUCUUAAAGUUAAUUUUUGAAUUAAGGAAAGGGGGCAGGCAGGGAACACAACUUAAAAUCUGAGUUUGUUAGUCAAAUACCCAACAAGCCCUUAACAAGAAAAAAUAAACAGAAAAAUUAAGGAUUUGCCUGUUGUAAGAUUACAGUGCUAGACACAUUUCUUUUGAAGUGAAAAGCAUGCUCAACCAAAACCAAAGGGACUGGUUUCCAAGAAAACAGUUAGGAUUUGAUUGCAAAUAAGCUUAUUAGAGCUCCAGAAACUGAAGGCAAAACUACAGCAUGUACGCAUCAUGGUAAACCAGAAUCUGCAGGUUAUAGUGAACAAGCGGUAUGCUAGUGCAUACUGCAUGAUCACUCCUGUCUUGCUCCUCCGCUAGCAUAAGCUAUAAACCAUGGUUUUUGGCUUACCAUGAUGCACGAACCUGGAACUGAUUUGUUUAGGGUGAAACAAACCAUGAUCCCAGUUUUGGACAUUACAGGAAGCCAAAGAUUGUGCUCUGUUGCUCCCAUUUGUGCAAGAGGAGGAGAGAAGCUGGAAUGAUCAAGCAGGGUGCACUAGCUGAUUGUGCACAAUAAGUUUAUGGUUUACCAUUAUGUGUGAAGGCAGCAGCCAACGUAAGAAACAUGGGACAAAACUGUUGAUGAAAAUGGUAGACUUUGUUGGAUGUUGUAUCUGGCGCAAGCAGGUGCCCAGGAUGCAGAACAGAAUAGUGACAGGCUAGAUUCCAGUUGAUGCAAUGAGCCAGACAAGUAAUAAGUUUUAAGAGUCACUUUACUGACAAUAGAAUAUAUCACAAGCUCUCUCUCUGUACAAACUCCUCGACCCCCACACCAACUGGCCAGAUCUGCCAAGUCUUAUAGAUAAGGCCAGCUGGUUGCCUUGGAUACUUGUCCUUGAGAUCUGCACGGACUCUGAGCGUCUUGGCCUUGUAACUCUGCCAUGGAAAAAAUACUCUCAGGAACCCUUUACUUGCCAACAGACUUGUAUCAAUUCUACCUCUCUCCCACAAAGUCUAGCACAGCCUACCUCAUGUUCUGACAUCAUCACACUGAUCAUUUUCCUGUCCCCAUUGCCAACGGUGUGGAGCCGAGGUGGGCAAAAGCAUAGCAUAAUGCUGUCAGGGCGUAAGGUAAGUUAUACUAGAUGUUACAGAAUGGGGGAACCCAGCAUAGGUCAUCAUUUUCUGUAGUUGCCUCUUGUUUUGUAUAAAGAGUUCUACUUAAAACUUCACCAUAUUUGCUCAUGGCAGCUUUGCCAUUUUUGGAAGUCUCCAGAUAUGUGUGACUGCUUUGCAGGCAUAGAGAUGAAGCUUUGUCAUUAAAUUUCUGAUGUUAUGCUGACAUGGAGAAAACAACUUUUUCCCCCCAGUCAAUCAUUUAUUGAAAAAUAUGGUUGCUCUAAGGGUUUCCCCCCAAAGGAAAGUUAUACUACACACAAAAAAAUACUGGAAUGUGUAAAUGAAUGUAUGCCUUGUCUAUGAGACAACUUUCCAUGAAAUAGUGGUUAGUGCUUGUUUUAAUCUGUAUAGAACAUGUUUUUGUUAAAGCAAAAAUUAUUUUCUGACUUCCUAUUUAGAAAAACAAAAAGUAUAUUUGAAAAGACAUAUUUCUGAAGGCAUGAAUAAUUUGCAUUCCAAAG